rnacentral:lncRNA from 1 species
CCAAUUUGGGGUCACCUGGGCACAGCUGGGCACACCUGGGCACACCUGGGCACUGCUGAACUCACCUGGGCACACCUGGGCACUGCUGCUUGGCUUGGGGGAACAUUUUCGGGUUUUUUUGGGGGAUUUUUUGGGGGUUCCUUGGGCAUCUUUUGGGGCUGUCGCUGCUGCACUGACUCACCUGGGCACCACUGGGCACACCUGGGCACUGCUGAACUCACCUGGGCACACCUGGGGUGGAUUUUGGGGGGUUUUUCGGGGGUCUCUGAAGAACUUUUGGGGGUUCUUUGGGGUCUGGAGCUGCUGCACUGACUCACCUGGGCACACCUGGG